rnacentral:rRNA from 1 species
UCUCGCGUCAGGAUAUGCCCAGGUGGGAUUAGCUAGUUGGUGAGGUAAGGGCUCACCAAGGCGACGAUCCCUAGCUGGUCUGAGAGGAUGAUCAGCCACACUGGAACUGAGACACGGUCCAGACUCCUACGGGAGGCAGCAGUGGGGAAUAUUGCACAAUGGGCGCAAGCCUGAUGCAGCCAUGCCGCGUGUAUGAAGAAGGCCUUCGGGUUGUAAAGUACUUUCAGCAGUGAGGAAGGUGGUAGUGUUAAUAGCACUAUCAUUUGACGUUAGCUGCAGAAGAAGCACCGGCUAACUCCGUGCCAGCAGCCGCGGUAAUACGGAGGGUGCGAGCGUUAAUCGGAAUUACUGGGCGUAAAGCGCAUGCAGGUGGUUUGUUAAGUCAGAUGUGAAAGCCCGGGGCUCAACCUCGGAAUUGCAUUUGAAACUGGCAGACUAGAGUACUGUAGAGGGGGGUAGAAUUUCA